rnacentral:rRNA from 1 species
GACAGAGGUGCCAAGCGUUAGGCGGAAUCACUGGGCUUAAAGCGUGUGUAGGCGGGCCGUUAAGUACCUUGUGAAAUCCCCCGGCUCAACCGGGGAACGGCUGGGUAUACUGGCGAUCUUGAGCCACCUAGGGGCAGUCGGAACAAGUGGUGGAGCGGUGAAAUGCGUAGAUAUCACGUGGAACGCCAAUGGUGAAAACAGACUGCUGGGGGUGUGCUGACGCUGAGACACGAAAGCCAGGGGAGCAAACGGG